rnacentral:rRNA from 1 species
AAUGUGGCGCAUGCCACGCUUUUGAAAGAUGGUUUCGGCUAUCGCUUACAGAUGGGCCCGCGGUGCAUUAGCUAGUUGGUAGGGUAAUGGCCUACCAAGGCAACGAUGCAUAGCCGACCUGAGAGGGGGAUCGGCCACACUGGGACUGAGACACGGCCCAGACUCCUACGGGAGGCAGCAGUAGGGAAUCUUCCGCAAUGGACGAAAGUCUGACGGAGCAACGCCGCGUGUAUGAAGAAGGUUUUCGGAUCGUAAAGUACUGUUGUUAGAGAAGAACAAGGAUAAGAGUAACUGCUUGUCCCUUGACGGUAUCUAACCAGAAAGCCACGGCUAACUACGUGCCAGCAGCCGCGGUAAUACGUAGGUGGCAAGCGUUGUCCGGAUUUAUUGGGCGUAAAGCGCGCGCAGGCGGUCUUUUAAGUCUGAUGUGAAAGCCCCCGGCUUAACCGGGGAGGGUCAUUGGAAACUGGAAGACUGGAGUGCAGAAGAGGAGAGUGGAAUUCCACGUGUAGCGGUGAAAUGCGUAGAUAUGUGGAGGAACACCAGUGGCGAAGGCGACUCUCUGGUCUGUAACUGACGCUGAGGCGCGAAAGCGUGGGGAGCAAACAGGAUUAGAU